CUCCCUCUCACGUUUUCAAUGUCCUGUUUUGCUCCCCCGAACCCUUAAUUCCUUAACACUUUCUACAGUUCUACCUCUCUUUGUUCGAUUUCUUCCUCUUCGUCGUUCUCCUUCAUCCUUUUCAUCAUCAUUCUUUAGAGAUUUGCGUUUCUGAAUUGUUGAUUGGGUCUUUGAAUUGGAGAUAAGAGAAAUUGGUGAAUGGGUCUUUGAAUUGGAGAUGAGAGAAAUUAGUGAAUCGUGUUUCUGAAUUGGCGAGAAGAACCAGGUUGCACAGCUAGUGCAGGGAUUGCUGCAAAUAUGCUUAUAGCACGUCUUGCCAUCAGAAUUGCUAAACCAGAUGGUCAAUGCUAAAUUUCUCCGGAGAAGAAUUGAUGGACAAGCCUGUAGCAGUGUGCCAUUCAGACAGUCCUAGAGGAACUUCUGAAAUUUCUUCUGCUAACUAUCCUGCUCGAGAUUAUGGGGUUAAAGCUGGAAUGUUCGUCAGAGAUGCCAAGGAUCGUUGUCCUCAUCUGGAAAUCGUACCUUACAAUUUUGAAGCUUAUGAAGAGAUAGCUGACCAAUUCUACAACAUAUUGCAUAAACACUGCGAUAAAGUGCAGGCAUUAAGUUGCGAUGAAGCAUUUCUGGAUGUCACUGAAUCAGAAGUGGCAGGGCCUGAGCUUUUAGUUUCAGAGAUAAGAAAAGAGAUCUUUGAAACUACAGGUUGCACAGCUAGUGCAGUGAUUGCUGCAAAUAUGCUUAUGGUUCGCCUUGCCACCAGAACUGAUAAACCAAAUGGUCAAUGCUACAUUUCUCCGGAGAAGGUCGAUGAGUAUCUGUUACCACUCCUUAUAAAAACACUCCGAGGUAUUGGACAUGUGUUGGAGCAAAAGUUGAAAAAGAAAGGAGUUCAGAAUUGCGGCCAGCUGCGAAUGUUUCCCAAGGUCUAAUAUUUAGUGAGAACCAUCAGUGCUAACUUUGUGAGGCUUUACAGAGGGACUUCAGAACAAAGACCGGUGAAAUGUUGUGGAAUUACUCCAGAGGUGUUGACAACCGGCUAGUUGGAGUCAUUCAGGAUGGUAGAUAGAAGGAGAAUGGUAGAUAAAAGGAUGGCAGGAAAGGCAUAGAUCGAAGUUCUAAUAAAUUAAAUACUAGAUGUUUGUUAUUGUUAUGGAUAUUUUUGUAAUAGCUAGUUGGAUGUUUUAGUGUAAUAUUUUCAUUUUAACGAGCUACUAAAUAAACACUUAUGAAACUAUUGCUAUAAGCUCACAUUAAAGUGAUAGUGUAUCAAGAAACGUUGCUAUAGACUCA